AUUGAACGCUGGCGGCAGGCCUAACACAUGCAAGUCGAGCGAGCGGCGGACGGUUGAGUAAUGUAUUGGUACUGCCCGAUAGAGGGGGAUCACUACUGGAAACGUUGGCUACUUCCGCACACUAUCGGAUAACCCAUAUGGGAGUAGCGAGUAGGUGUGGUGAAGGCUCACCUAGGCGACGAUCUCUAGCUGGUCUGAGAGGAUGAUCAGCCAACAUGGGACAUGAACCCGGCCCAAACUCCUACGGCGGGAGCAGUGGGGAAGAUUGCACCAUGGGCGGAAGCCUGAUGCAGCCAUGCCGCGGGUAUGAAGAAGGAUGUAGGGUUGUAAAGUACUUUCAGCGGGGAGGCGGUAACCGAAGCAGAAGCACAGGCUAAAUCCGUGCCAGCAGCCGCGGUAAUAC
rnacentral:rRNA from 1 species